UAUCCUGUCUGAAUAUGGGGGGACCAUCCUCCAAGGCUAAAUACUCCUGACUGACCGAUAGUGAACCAGUACCGUGAGGGAAAGGCGAAAAGAACCCCGGCGAGGGGAGUGAAAAAGAACCUGAAACCGUGUACGUACAAGCAGUGGGAGCACCCUUUGGGUGUGACUGCGUACCUUUUGUAUAAUGGGUCAGCGACUUAUAUUCUGUAGCAAGGUUAACCGAAUAGGGGAGCCGGAGGGAAACCGAGUCUUAAUUGGGCGUUAAGUUGCAGGGUAUAGACCCGAAACCCGGUGAUCUAGCCAUGGGCAGGUUGAAGGUUGGGUAACACUAACUGGAGGACCGAACCGACUAAUGUUGAAAAAUUAGCGGAUGACCUGUGGCUGGGGGUGAAAGGCCAAUCAAACCGGGAGAUAGCUGGUUCUCCCCGAAAGCUAUUUAGGUAGCGCCUCGUGAAUUCAUCUCCGGGGGUAGAGCACUGUUUCGGCUAGGGGGCCAUCCCGGCUUACCAACCCGAUGCAAACUGCGAAUACCGGAGAAUGUUAUCACGGGAGACACACGGCGGGUGCUAACGUCCGUCGUGAAGAGGGAAACAACCCAGACCGCCAGCUAAGGUCCCAAAGUCAUGGUUAAGUGGGAAACGAUGUGGGAAGGCCCAGACAGCCAGGAUGUUGGCUUAGAAGCAGCCAUCAUUUAAAGAAAGCGUAAUAGCUCACUGGUCGAGUCGGCCUGCGCGGAAGAUGUAACGGGGCUAAACCAUGCACCGAAGCUGCGGCAGCGACACUGUGUGUUGUUGGGUA
rnacentral:rRNA from 1 species